GAUGAAGAACGUAGCGAAAUGCGAUACGUAAUGUGAAUUGCAGAAUUCAGUGAAUCAUCGAGUCUUUGAACGCACAUUGCGCCCCCUGGUAUUCCGGGGGGCAUGCCUGUCCGAGCGUCAUCUCAACCCUCGAGCCCCCCCGGGGGCUCGGCGUUGGGGACCGGCCCCGCCCCAGGGCGCGCCGCCCCCCAAAUCCAGUGGCGGUCCCGCCGCAGCCUCCCCUGCGCAGUAGCUUGCACACUCGCACCGGAGAGCGGCGCGGCCACGCCGUAAAACCCCCCGACCACGGAGCCCCGGCUCCUGAACGUUGACCUCGGAUCAGGUAGGAAUACCCGCUGAACUUAAGCAUAUCAAUAAGCGGAGGA
rnacentral:misc_RNA from 1 species